rnacentral:rRNA from 1 species
CGCGUAGGCGGCCUUCUAAGUCGGACGUGAAAUCCCCCGGCUCAACCGGGGAACUGCGUCCGAUACUGGAAGGCUUGAAUCCGGGAGAGGGAUGUGGAAUUCCAGGUGUAGCGGUGAAAUGCGUAGAUAUCUGGAGGAACACCGGUGGCGAAGGCGGCAUCCUGGACCGGUAUUGACGCUGAGGCGCGAAAGCUAGGGGAGCAAACG